rnacentral:lncRNA from 1 species
CAGAGAUAACCACAGGUGACUUUGGAUGUAAGUCGCUCCUGCCCGUGCUUCCCACCUCUAACUCUCAUUACAUAUGCUGCUGAUGGGAUUCACGUGUGAUCCAAGCAUUGCACUGCCCUACCUCUCAGACACUGAUCGGCAGCCAUGACUGACUUAGGGGAAGGGGCCAGUUUUUCUGUUGGGCUUCUUGGGCCUGGAGGGUAAAGGGAGAGGCUAAAAGGGAGCCUGGCCCUCUCUCUGUCUCAAGGCUGGGUCUGAUCUGGCAAAGAGGAACUGGCUCCACAGCUCUGGGCAGAAUCCACUGCUGCUCCCACACAGAGAAGACCAGGGGAACCGCAGUCCCACUCUGAGAUGGAGUUUCGCCAUGUUGUCCAGGCUGGUCUGGGACUCCUGGGCUCAAGCAGUCCUCCCACCUAAGCCUCCCAAAGUGUUGGAAUUACAGGCGUGAGCCACCGCGCCCAGCCUGCUGAGACUUUUGAAUGUGUUCUGUUUCCACUACACAAUUGAGAACACUGAAGUACCAGUGACUUCCAGGGUGGGGAAGAAAUCCAGAGGCUGCUCCUGAAAGGGGUCACCCUUGAGUGUGAGUCUGUUCCAAGUAAAUCAAGUGAGCUGGAAGAUCGGUGAGCUUGGAUUUAUUUUGUAUCUUUUUUUUUUUCUUUUUAAAGGGGAGCUGUAGAAUUAAGGGUUGAGGUUUUUCUUAUUCUCUUUAGAGGUUUUUUGGCUACCUAAUACAUCAGCUGAACUAAUCUGCAGAAAAUAAAUUUAUCUUUAAAGUAGAGCUAUUUAGAUGCCUGAGUAACAAACUCUAUCUCAAUAGAAGCUAUUGGCAAAAUGAAGCUCACCUCUUAGGCUGACAGCACUGUGGAAAUGAUGCUCAAAGUUUCAGGGGUGAAACCAGAUUGGCUUCUGGCCAAGGGUACCUUACUAAUGGGCGUAUUUGCAUUUGGGGAGGAAAAGACCUGUGACAACACAGCCACGUGGUUGUUCCUCAUAACCCACAGUUGGGUUUCAUCUGGACUCCCUCCCCACCCCUAACGUCUGCCGAUGUAUCUGUGUCUAAAGCCAUAGUUUACUCUUUUUUAUCCUCAUCCUUCAACCAGCCCUACAUCUUACGUGCCUGCUGUCCAGACUUCUCUUAAAUCUAUCUGUUCCUUUCCACCCCAACUAUCAACUCAACUGAAUAGCCACUAAAUGAGGCACUGUGCUAAGCUCUGAAUUGCAAAGAUCAUUAGGGCAUUUGGUCUUAUUACUUCAGUCCUGGGUUAUGCACCUGUGCUAGGAGGUGCAGCUGAUUUUCCUGAUUAUGCUUCCAGACGUGCCACUCCUUCUCAUACACACAACUCUUGCUCAGACACUGUCCUGUACUUCCUGUAAGGUACAGUCAAAACCUGCGUUUUUCAGAGGCCUCUGCAGCCUGCACCCAUUGUGAUUGUGCAGUCUUAGCUCCUUUUGGCCUUGUGGAAGGAGAGUGGAUUCUAGAAAGAUCCCUGCCCAGCCACUUCCUGCCCACUGUGACCUUGAGCAAAAUCUCUGGCUCCAAGUGUUGCAUGGGUGGUGGUGAAGGGGUAGCAAGGAAACUUGAGUGGGUUUGUCAGAACUAGGAGCAGUAAGAAAACUUGAAAGAGCCUCCUGUCUUAAGAAGGCACUUGACUGCCUCUGAUCAAUUCAGGGAGGCUUCAACAGCUCUUAAGAGGAUUAGGCCAAAGGACUUCAGUGAAACUUUUGUGCUUUUGUUCCCUAGAGUGGAAACCCUUGACACGUGUUACACACAAACAACACUUGGGGUGGAACAAGAGGUUUACAAUGAUCUGUCUGGGACCCAUAAUACAAUUCAGCAUCUCUUUAGAGCUUCAGUCUAUCAAACAUUUUCAGACUAUUUCAUUUAACCUUAACAGUUAUUGAAAUGCUUGGGGGGGAAAAAAACCUCCACAUUUGAGAUUUCCAUAGCAGAAGCAUCACCAGCAGCCUCAACAGCCAUUCAAAAAGAUAUCGUCUGCAGGCUUGUUACCUCUUAUCGUCCCUCCAUUGUAUUAUAGAACUCUUAUUCUUAGAGAGAUUGCCUGGAAAGAGGUAAAGUAUGCAUAGACAUGGUCAGCCCCAUUUGCAGCUGAGGAAAUGAGACUCAGAGUGGCAAAGUGACUUUUUCAGAAUCAUAGCAGUAAAUGGUAGCAUUAGGAAGCUAAGCCUGAUCAUCCUGUUCUUGUCCUGUUGAGGAGAUAGUGAGAGCAAAGGAAAGUGGCAACAAUGAAGGAAUAAAACCCAGCUCGUCCCCCUGUUCCUCAUGCCCAACCCUUGCCAAGACUUCAGGUAACAGAAGGAAGAGAACACAUGGAUGGGCACAUGCUGGGCCCGGAAGAGCUGUGCAUGUCCCACAGACCACGAGUGUGGAGCCCAUGGCCGUGUGAAGGGGGUGGGGUCCCAGUCCUAGAAGCAGGAUCAUGGAAGUGGCCUUGGAGGACCUGACGAGGAAGCCUAUGAUCUUCCAGGUACUUUUAGGUGAUGUGGAUUUAGACACUGGAUGUGGCUGUGAAGCGGGCUUUUGCUUUUUUGGUUGUCCGGCAUCCAUUUAAUCACGCCCCAGCUUCCUGCUUGGGAACUUCCACUAACGCUGUCAGUCCAUGGACUUCUAGAGGAGCUGAAUCUACCGCUGGCUCAGGAACAGGAACCUGACCUGGGCCUAAGCUAAUGAAUCCAUCAAAUUUACCUUGGCAAAGUGAUUGCCUCAGGAAUGGGCAGUGACCCAACUAGAGCCAAUAGGACUUUUCCCAGGUAUCCUGAAACAGACAGUCUUUUUCUCAUGGAUGUGGACCUGAGACAGUAUAGUUCUGGGAGUUGCUGACAACCAUCUUAUGGUCAUGAGCUGAUUUGAGAUUGGCUUCAACAAGCAGGAAGUGGAACAGAUGGAGAUAAAUUGGAUCCUGGUAAAAUUUGUUUGGAAUCUUGUAUAUGUUGAUUUUUCUCCUGAAUUUUUUUCAGUUAUAUGAACCAAUACAUUUUGUUUGUUUAACCCAAUAUGGGUCAUGUCUUCUCUCAACUGCAGGUGACUGCAGUUUACUUGUUUCAUAAAGUAGGAUUUUAAACAUAAACAGUAUGCAG